CGGCGGACGGGUGAGUAACGCGUGGGCUACCUGCCUCAUACAGGGGGAUAACAGUUAGAAAUGACUGCUAAUACCGCAUAAGCGCACAGGACCGCAUGGUGUAGUGUGAAAAACUCCGGUGGUAUGAGAUGGACCCGCGUCUGAUUAGGUAGUUGGUGGGGUAAAGGCCUACCAAGCCGACGAUCAGUAGCCGACCUGAGAGGGUGACCGGCCACAUUGGGACUGAGACACGGCCCAAACUCCUACGGGAGGCAGCAUG
rnacentral:rRNA from 1 species